UCUCCGUUGGUGAACCAGCGGAGGGAUCAUUACCGAGUUUACAACUCCCAAACCCCUGUGAACAUACCAUUUGUUGCCUCGGCGGUGCCUGCUUCGGCAGCCCGCCAGAGGACCCAAACCCUUGAUUUUAUACAGUAUCUUCUGAGUAAAUGAUUAAAUAAAUCAAAACUUUCAACAACGGACCUCUUGGUUCUG
rnacentral:misc_RNA from 1 species